GUGCCUGCUUCAGCAGCACAUAUACUAAAAUUGGAAUAAUACAAAGAUUAGCAUGGCCCCUGUGCAAGUAUGAUACACAAAUUUGUGAAGCAUUCCAUAUUAAA
ensembl:snRNA U6 U6 spliceosomal RNA